ACAACCAGGAGGUUGGCUUAGAAGCAGCCAUCCUUUAAAGAAAGCGUAACAGCUCACUGGUCUAGUGAUUCUGCGCGGAAAAUAUAACGGGGCUAAGAUGUACACCGAAGCUUUAGAUUCAAUUUUUAAUUGAGUGGUAGGAGAGCGUUCUAUUCAGCGUUGAAGGUAUACCGGUAAGGAGUGCUGGAGCGGAUAGAAGUGAGCAUGCAGGCAUGAGUAGCGAUAAUUAAGGUGAGAAUCCUUAACGCCGAAAACCCAAGGUUUCCUACGCGAUGCUCGUCAUCGUAGGGUUAGUCGGGUCCUAAGUCGAGUCCGAAAGGGGUAGACGAUGGCAAAUUGGUUAAUAUUCCAAUACCAACAUAUAAGCGCGAUGUGGGGACGCAUAGAGUUAGUCGAGCUCACUGAUGGAAUAGUGGGUCGAAGGAUGUAGGUUGUUAAGUAGGCAAAUCCGCUUAACGUUAGACCGAGAUCUUACAGGCUCUUGACACUCUUCGGAGGAGAUGGAGAAUCGAUGAUACUGUCGUGCCAAGAAAAGCCACUAAGUUUAUUAUAUGUUGCCCGUACCGUAAACCGACACAGGUGGGUGGGAUGAGUAUUCUAAGGCGCGUGGAAGAACCCUGGUUAAGGAACUCUGCAAACUAGCACCGUAUCUUCGGUAUAAGGUGUGCCUACUUUGGUAUAUGGACUUGCUCCAAAAAGCUAGAGAGGUUGCAACAAAGAGUCCCUCCCGACUGUUUACCAAAAACACAGCACUUUGCUAACACGUAAGUGGAUGUAUAAGGUGUGACGCCUGCCCGGUGCUCGAAGGUUAAUUGAUGAUGUCAGCGCAAGCGAAGCAUUUGAUCGAAGCCCGAGUAAACGGCGGCCGUAACUAUAACGGUCCUAAGGUAGCGAAAUUCCUUGUCGGUUAAAUACCGACCUGCAUGAAUGGCGUAACGAGAUGGGAGCUGUCUCAACCAGGGAUCCAGUGAAAUUGUAGUGGAGGUGAAAAUUCCUCCUACCCGCGGAAAGACGGAAAGACCCCGUGCACCUUUACUACAGCUUGACACUGUAGCUUGGAUAUUCAUGUGCAGGAUAGGUGGGAGGCUAUGAUGACUAGACGCAAGUAGAGUCGGAGCCAUCCUUGAGAUACCACCCUUGAAUAUUUGAGUUACUAACUGCGUACAAUUAUCUUGUAUCAGGACAAUGUCUGGUGGGUAGUUUGACUGGGGCGGUCGCCUCCUAAAAAGUAACGGAGGCUUACAAAGGUUAGUUCAAAGCGGAUGGAAAUCGCUUGUUGAGUAUAAUGGCAUAAACUAGCUUGACUGUGAGACCUACAAGUCGAACAGAGACGAAAGUCGGUCAUAGUGAUCCGGUGGUUCUGCGUGGAAGGGCCAUCGCUCAAAGGAUAAAAGGUACGCCGGGGAUAACAGGCUGAUCUCCCCCAAGAGCUCACAUCGACGGGGAGGUUUGGCACCUCGAUGUCGGCUC
rnacentral:rRNA from 1 species